UACGGAGGGUGCAAACGUUGCUCGGAAUCAUUGGGCGUAAAGCGCACGUAGGCGGCUCGUUAAGUCGGAUGUGAAAGCCCUGGGCUUAACCCAGGAAGUGCAUACGAAACUGGCGAGCUUGAAUAUGGAAGAGGGUCGCGGAAUUCCCGGUGUAGAGGUGAAAUUCGUAGAUAUCGGGAGGAACACCAGUGGCGAAGGCGGCGACCUGGGCCAAUAUUGACGCUGAGACGCGAAAGCGUGGGGAGCAAACAGG
rnacentral:rRNA from 1 species